rnacentral:rRNA from 1 species
ACAUCCAGCGAACUUGGCAGAGAUGCCUUGGUGCCUUCGGGAACGCUGAGACAGGUGCUGCAUGGCUGUCGUCAGCUCGUGUUGUGAAAUGUUGGGUUAAGUCCCGCAACGAGCGCAACCCUUAUCCUUUGUUGCCAGCGAUUCGGUCGGGAACUCAAAGGAGACUGCCGGUGAUAAACCGGAGGAAGGUGGGGAUGACGUCAAGUCAUCAUGGCCCUUACGAGUAGGGCUACACACGUGCUACAAUGGCGCAUACAAAGAGAAGCGACCUCGCGAGAGCAAGCGGAACCUCAUAAAGUGCGUCGUAGUCCGGAUCGGAGUCUGCAACUCGACUCCGUGAAGUCGGAAUCGCUAGUAAUCGUGGAUCAGAAUGCCACGGUGAAUACGUUCCCGGGCCUUGUACACACCGCCCGUCACACCAUGGGAGUGGGUUGCAAAAGAAGUAGGUAGCUUAACCCUCGGGAGGGGCGCUUACCACUUUGUGAUUCAUGACUGGGGUGAAGUCGUAACAAGGUAAGCGUAGUGCU